UACGUAUAUCGCAAGCGUUAUCCGGAUUUAUUGGGCGUAAAGCACGUCUAGGCGGCUUAGUAAGUCUGAUGUGAAAAUGCGGGGCUCAACCCCGUAUUGCGUUGGAAACUGUUAAACUAGAGUACUGGAGAGGUAGGCGGAACUACAAGUGUAGAGGUGAAAUUCGUAGAUAUUUGUAGGAAUGCCGAUGGAGAAGCCAGCCUACUGGACAGAUACUGACGCUAAAGCGCGAAAGCGUGGGUAGCAAACAGG
rnacentral:rRNA from 1 species